UGGGCACAAAGCCUGUUGUACCUCUGA
rnacentral:piRNA from 1 species